GAUCCUGGCUCAGGAUGAACGCUGGCGGCGUGCUUAACACAUGCAAGUCGAACGGAACUCCUGUGUUUGAGGUUUCGGCCAAGAAGACAGGAUGUUUAGUGGCGGACGGGUGAGUAACGCGUGAGUAACCUGCCUUGGAGUGGGGAAUAACACAGUGAAAACUGUGCUAAUACCGCAUAAUGCAUUUGGGUCGCAUGAUCCUGAAUGCCAAAGAUUUAUCGCU
rnacentral:rRNA from 1 species